rnacentral:rRNA from 1 species
UUCCGGUUGAUCCCGCCGGACCUGACUGCUAUCGGAUUGAUACUAAGCCAUGCGAGUCUUUGCAGUAAUGCAAGGCAUACGGCUCAGUAACACGUAGUCAACUUACCCUAUGGACGAGGAUAAUCUCGGGAAACUGAGCAUAAUACUCGAUAGAUCAUAAUGCCUGGAAUGGUUUAUGGUUGAAAUGAUUCGUCGCCAUAGGAUGGGACUGCGGCCUAUCAGCUUGUUGGUGAGGUAAUGGCCCACCAAGGCGAUUACAGGUACGGGCUCUGAGAGGAGAAGCCCGGAGAUGGGUACUGAGACAAGGACCCAGGCCCUAUGGGGCGCAGCAGGCGAGAAAACUUUGCAAUGUGCGAAAGCACGACAAGGUUAAUCCGAGUGAUUUCUGCUAAAGAAAUCUUUUGCAAGUCAUAAAACCACUAGUGAAUAAGGGGUGGGCAAGUUCUGGUGUCAGCCGCCGCGGUAAAACCAGCACCUCAAGUGGUCAGGAGGAUUAUUGGGCCUAAAGCAUCCGUAGCCGGCUCUGUAAGUUUUCGGUUAAAUCCAUGUGCUCAACGCAUGGGCUGCCGAAAAUACUGCAUAGCUAGGGAGUGGGAGAGGUAGACGGUACUCAGUAGGAAGGGGUAAAAUCCUUUGAUCUAUUGAUGACCACCUGUGGCGAAGGCGGUCUACCAGAACACGUUCGACGGUGAGGGAUGAAAGCUGGGGGAGCAAACCGGAUUAGAUACCCGGGUAGUCCCAGCUGUAAACGAUGCAGACUCGAUGAUGCAUUGGCAUAUAGCCAGUGCAGUGUCGCAGGGAAGCCGUUAAGUCUGCCGCCUGGGAAGUACGUACGCAAGUAUGAAACUUAAAGGAAUUGGCGGGGGAGCACCACAAGGGGUGAAGCCUGCGGUUCAAUUGGAGUCAACGCCGGG